rnacentral:rRNA from 1 species
GUUGAACGCUAGCUACAGGCUUAACACAUGCAAGUCGAGCGACCGGCGCACGGGUGAUUACCACGUAUCCAACCUGCCCUUUACUCGGGGAUCGCCUUUCGAUAGAUAGAUUAAUACCCGAUAUAAAGGAUGGGGAUGCGUUCCAUUUGGUUGUUGGUGAGGUAACGGCGCACCAAGCCUUCGAUGGAUUGUGGUUCGGAGAGGAAGGUACCCCAGAUUGGAACUGAGACACGGUCCAAAAUGGUACGGGAGGAAGCAGGGAGGAAUAUUGGUCAAUGGGCGCUAGCCUGAACCAGCCAAGUAGAGUGAAGGAUGAAGGCGUAUGGGAGGUAAACUUCUUUUAUAUAAGAAUAUGUAUUAUAUGAAUAAGGAUCGGCUAACUCCGUGCCAGCAGCCGCGGUAAUAC